rnacentral:rRNA from 1 species
UUUAUUUAGAGUUUGAUUCUGGCUCAGGACGAACGCUGGCGGCGUGCUUAACACAUGCAAGUCGAGCGGAAUAUGGGAGCUUGCUCCUAUAUUUAGCGGCGGACGGGUGAGUAACGCGUGAGCAACCUGCCUUAGACUGCGGGAUAACACUUAGAAAUAGGUGCUAAUACCGCAUAAGACCACACUCCGGCAUCGGAGAGGGGUAAAAGAUUUAUCGGUUUAAGAUGGGCUCGCGUCCCAUUAGUUAGUUGGUGAGGUAACGGCCCACCAAGACUAUGAUGGGUAGCCGACCUGAGAGGGUGAUCGGCCACAUUGGAACUGAGAAACGGUCCAAACUCCUACGGGAGGCAGCAGUGGGGAAUAUUGGGCAAUGGAGGCAACUCUGACCCAGCAACGCCGCGUGAACGAUGAAGGUCUUCGGAUUGUAAAGUUCUGUCGCAGGGGACGAAGUAUGACGGUACCCUGUAAGAAAGCCCCGGCAAACUACGUGCCAGCAGCCGCGGUAAUACGUAGGGGGCUAGCGUUGUCCGGAAUUACUGGGCGUAAAGGGAGUGUAGACGGCUUGUCAAGUUAAGUGUGAAAGCCUGCGGCUUAACCGUAGAAUUGCACAUAAAACUGACUCGCUAGAGUGCAGGAGAGGUGAGUGGAAUUCCUAGUGUAGCGGUGGAAUGCGUAGAUAUUAGGAGGAACACCAGAGGCGAAGGCGGCUCACUGGACUGUAACUGACGUUGAGGCUCGAAAGCGUGGGGAGCAAACAGGAUUAGAUAUCCUGGUAGUCCACGCCCUAAACGAUGGAUACUAGACGAAGGUGGCUUGCCCAUCUGUGUCGUAGCUAACGCAUUAAGUAUCCCGCCUGUGGAGUACGGCCGCAAGGUUAAAACAUAAAGAAAUUGACGGGUCCCCGCACAAGCAGCGGAGCAUGUGGUUUAAUUCGAUGCAACGCGAAGAACCUUACCAAGACUUGACAUUGCGUGACAGCCUGUGAAAGCAGGCCUCCCUUCGGGGCACAAAAACAGAUGGUGCAUGGUCGUCGUCAGCUCGUGCCGUGAGGUGUUCGGUUAAGUCCGUCAACGAGCGCAACCCUUAUUUCCAGUUGCCAAUAUUAAGUUAGGGACUCUGGAAAGACUGCCGUGGAUAACACGGAGGAAGGUGGGGAUGAUGUCAGAUCAUCAUGCCUCUUACGUCUUGGGCUACACACGUGCUACAAUGGGCGCUACAAAGAGCUGCAGAGCCGUAAGGCCGAGCCAAUCUCAAAAAAGCGUUCUCAGUUCGGAUUGUGGGCUGCAACCCGCCCACAUGAAGUUGGAGUUGCUAGUAAUCCCGAAUCAGCACGUCGGGGUGAAUGCGUUCCCGGGGAUUGUACACACCGCCCGUCAAGCCAUGGGAGUUGGGGGUACUCGAAGUCGGUCACGCCAACCCGCAAGGGAAGCGUCCGCCUAAGGUAAAACCAAUGACUGGGGUUAAGUCGUAACAAGGUAGCCCUACGAGAACGUGGGGCUGGAUCACCUCCUUU